rnacentral:tmRNA from 1 species
GGGGAUAAUUGGUUUUGACAGCAGGUAGAACAGGUAUGUAAGCACGCCGAGCACUGCAGAGACGCUCGUAAAUAUCGUCUGUAAAACAAUAACUGGCAACUACAAUGUAGCUCUCGCCGCUUAAUCGAAGUAUAGUAGAUUAGCUUUGUGUCGGCACAAGGUGCUGACCCGAGACGUCGCUCCGAGCCGACUCCUGAAGGCUCAACGGAUAUAGCGGCGCAGAAAUAUUCGGGAUAGCGCACGCAGGCUGCGAUGUGUGUGCGAAACAAUAGCAGAUAAGCCGGUAGUUGGUGGCUUGGGUCUUGCUACCGGAUGAAAACAAAAGCCAAGAUAAGCGUGUAGAAAGCAUAUUGGUUCCUUGUUUGGACGCGGGUUCGACUCCCGCUAUCUCCAC